UACAGAGGGUGCGAGCGUUGUCCGGAAUCACUGGGCGUAAAGGGCGCGUAGGCGGCUUGAUAAGGUUGCGGUGAAAGCCCGGGGCUCAACCCCGGGUCGGCCGUGGCAACUGUCGAGCUGGAGCACUGUAGAGGCAGGUGGAAUUCCGGGUGUAGCGGUGGAAUGCGUAGAGAUCCGGAAGAACACCGGUGGCGAAGGCAGCCUUCUGGGCCUUAUUGACGCUGAGGCU
rnacentral:rRNA from 1 species